GCUUGGCCCUAAACCUCAGUAGUUAAACAACAAAACUACUCGCCAGAAUACUACGAGCAACGGCUUAAAACUCAAAGGACUUGACGGUGCUUUACACCCCCUAGAGGAGCCUGUUCCAUAAUCGAUAAACCCCGAUCCACCCCACCCUCUCUUGCUCAGCCUAUAUACCGCCAUCUUCAGCAAACCCUGAUAAAGAUUACAAAGUGAGCGCAAACGCCUCCCCGCAAAAACGUUAGGUCAAGGUGUAGCCCAUGAGACGGUAAAAAAUGGGCUACAUUUUCUGUAUCAGAAAACCCACGAAAACUCUUAUGAAAUUUGAGAGUCCAAGGAGGAUUUAGCAGUAAAUUAAGAAUAGAGUGCUUAAUUGAACCAGGCCAUAAAGCGCG
rnacentral:rRNA from 1 species